UUUUGUCUUGUGUGAUGAUGAAGAUUGUGUUCUGUUCUGCUCUCAGUCAUGAAGUGUUAAACUCACAGCACUAUAAACACUCUCAGAGCACUGAAGCAUGUGUGACAAUGCAAAGAAGUGGGCAGGAUUUACAACAGCGUGUGCUGCUAACAAACUAAUAAACUCUCUACAUAUAAGAUUUGGUAUUUCAGUGGUCUACUUUAGACAUUCUACUGACUGUAAGUAACUUUACAACUACAUGUCAACUUAUUCUACUUACCCGAACCCAAACCUAUAACAGUCUACUAAUACACUAAUGAGAGUUAGUUGACAUGUAGUUGACAAGUCACUUAUAGUUAGUAAAAUAUCAAAAGUGGACCAUCGAAAUAAAGUGCAACCUAAGAUUUUACAGAUUAUGUCGUUUGUAAUAAUUGUAAAUAUUGAUUAUUGUAAAUAUUUUUUAAUCUUAAUUACAAAAUGUUUUUUUAUGUUUUGCAGACUGAUAAGACACUAGUCUUUGACUUUAUAUGAACUUCUGUCAGUGUGGAUGAAGUAUUUUCAGCUUUCAAUGCCGCUGUACAUACUUUAGCAAAAGAGUAGACAAGCUUUGGGACAUACUAUCACGUCAUACAAUUGCGUCUUUGCUCUCUGUCGCAUCCUGUCACCAUAAACUGGCCUGUCAAUCAUCUUACAUCCUCCACAUUUCAUUUAGCUAAUUUCCUACCGUAUCGGAGAGAAAUGCAGUAGCACGCUGAUCUGCAGUCGCGGGUCUUUCAUGUGGAGAACUCUCCUCAUAUUAAUGCAUAAUGAUGCAUUUAAAAGUUAAUGGCCAAUCGGAUCUUUAUAAAAGUCCACAUUGGUAUUAGAUGAAAUAUAACACGGAUAACAUUAAAUAAAUAUUUUCUAUCAGGUUGAACUGAUUAUUAGUCACUCAAACCUCUCAGCGUCGGUCGCGCAUAUCCACCAUGUUUUGUAGUUUUUUAACACUUUUUACUUGUGUUUGUAGUUCUGAACUGAAUCCUCAUCCAAAGCGCAAUGGGUUGUGGGCAAUAUUAGCCUUUGUAGUGUGCACGGAUCCACACUUCCAAAAUCCACCGGAAAUAGUAGACCAUCCGGGGACUUUUGGCAUACUCUUUCCAACAUACUAUGCUUUGGGACACAUUAUUUUAAUCUCACAUACUAUUUAGGAUGGAUAGUAUGGACAUUGGGACGCAGGGAAAGUGAGCAGCAUUCAGCUGGUCAUGUGAUCUCAAAAUGGUGGCCAACUUAAGGAAGAAAAAUAAAAGAUUUUUUUUAGGCCCCUAAAAUGACUAUAGUAUCAUGAAAGUCGAUCAUUUUAAACAUAUUUGUCAAACACAAUAAUUAUAUCUUUGUGAGUACAGUAAUGUACUACAUCUUUAAAAACAUGUUAACAAUGAGAAAAAGUUUUACUGUAUUUAGAGUAAACAAAAAAAAAAAAGAUACAUAAUGGAGUUUUGAUGAAGGUUGACAUGUUCAUCAGGACUCAUAAUCAGGUCAUGUGACACUAGAUUAAACAAUGUGCUUAUGAAAUGUUCAGAAUUAUUGAUUAAUUUAUUUGAAGCUGCAGGUUUUUCUGUGAAUCAUGAUGAUUGAGCUUCAUAUGAACAACAGAAGAUCAUUAUGAGAAACUCACAACAUCAUCCAUGAUAAAAGAGGUCAAAGGUCACCUCAGAGGUCACAGAUCAUCAGAUAUAUUUCUAUAAACAGUGUUAUAUCAGCACACGACUAAAGAAUAAAUGAGAAAUAUAACAUAUAAAGUCAAACUGAAUCAUGUUUUAAAUAAGAUUAAUAAACUCUUCAGCUGAUCAUGAAAAUAAUUACACUGAUUUUGCAACAACAAACAUUUUGAAUGAAAGUGUGUUUGUUGUUCUUUUUUGAAAAUCAUUUUGUCCAAACUGAAUGUUUGAGUGUUGAGAAGAUCUGAGUUUCUUCUAAUAUCAGUGUGUUGAAGUGUUGUUUCUCUCUCUCUGCUGGAGUUUGUGUUCACUCGAGUGGAAUAGAGGUUUUUGUACGACCGUUUCAUUAGAUUGUAUCACUGUGGUACACAUUCGGUGGAGGAACUAAACUGGUGCUCGCUGGUCCCACAGUGAAGCCCUCAGUGUCUCUGCUGCCGCCCUCUUCUCUGCAGAUCUCUGGAGACUCAGCCGCACUGCUCUGCCUGCUCAGCUCUUACUCUCCACAGGGGGCGCUGGUGAGCUGGACACUGGACGGGUCAGAGGUCACCGAGGGGGUCGUGACCAGCGCAGAGAGCCAGCGGGACGGCCGCUACAGCCGCAGUAGCGUCCUGACCCUCAGCAAAGCACGCUGGGAAAAGGGAGAGGUGUACGUCUGCAGAGUAACACAUGAUGGAGCUCCUCAUGAGGUCUCGUUCCACAAGAGCUCUGAGUGCUGAUGUUUCUCUCCUGAAGAUGAGCCGUAUCUGAGUGUCCUGUGUCAGGCAGGAUUCACAUGAGUCUAGUGCUGCAGCUGUAGUGAUUUACAACUCAAUACUGAAAGAGAGCUGGCGUGUCAAAGCACUGUGUGAUCUUUCAAUCUGCUGUAACAUUCAAUAAAGCUUCUCAACAAGUUCA